rnacentral:lncRNA from 1 species
UGAGGAAAACUGCACAAGAAGUUUAUUGUCAAAAACAUUUAUUUCUUCAAGUACAAAUAGUAAGUAUUAACCAUUUCGGAUGGUUUGCAUGUGCUCGGUUUUACUUAUGUUAACUCAUUUUUACCUCACAACAGUUACCGUGGUAAGAAAUUAUUAUCCACAUUGAUAUGUAAAUAUCAAUCCACAGAGGAAGAAAAUUGCUUAAGACCAAAGUCAUAGUUAUUAAAUGCCAGGGUCACAAUAUACCAUCUGCAAGCUGGAGAAUCAGAGAAGCCGGUGGCAUGGCCUGAUCCAAGUUGGAAGGUGCAGGCAGAUCUGGUGUCUGAGGAAAGCCCACCUGCUUCUGGUUUGCAGAUGGCAGUCUUUGUGUGGUAGUCUUACAUGGCAGAGAGAGAGAGCAAGCUUUUGUGUCUCUCUUUAUAAUGCCACUGCCAUGAUCUGAAUGUGUCCCCUGAAAUUCACUCAUAAAACAGUCUCCUCCAAAAACAUGGUCCUUCUCAGAAACAGUGCUUCCCCAGCCAUCUAGGCAUCCCUCAAUCCUGUCAAGUUGACACCUAAAACUAUCACAGGGACACUCUACAAGUAACUGGUAAACCCACCAGAAGAUCAGGGUCCAGAUGCAGAAAGCAGGUGCUGAUGAGUUUUUAAAUAUCUUGGGGUCUCCUAGUGGGCUGCUAUAGCAAGUUACCAUAGACUGGGUGGCUUAAACAACACACAUUUCUUUCUUACUGUUCUGAAGGCUGGCAAGUCCAAGAUCAAGGUGCAGGCACAUCUGGUGUCUGAUGAGGGUCCACCCGCUUUCUGAUUUGCUGAGGACAGUCUUCUUGUGGUAUUCUCACAUGGCAGAGAGCAAGCUCUUGUGUCUCUUUUUAUAAGGCCACUGCGAUGGUCUGAAUGUGUCUCCCAACAUUCAUGUGUUAGAAACUUGGUCCCCACCAGCUAUAUGGAGGCUGAGGUGGGAGGAUCGCUUGAGCCCAGGAGUUUGAGGCUGCAGUGAUCUAUGAUCAUGCCACUAUACUCCAGCCUAGGCAACAGAACAAGGCCCCAUCAAUCAGUCAGUCAAUACAUAAAUAAGUCUUUCCAUCUAUCCCUAAUGCAACAGCUGUGAGAGAACAAACAUCUGUUCUAUAUAAAUUACCCAGUCUCGGGUAUUCUAUUAUAGCAGCACAAAAUGGACUAAGACAGCCACUAAUCCCACUCAUGAGGGCCCUACCAUCAUGGCCUAAUUAGUUACUUCCCAAAGUUCCCACUUCCUGUUACCAUCACAAAGGGGUUAGGAUCUCAGCAUAGAAACUUUGGGGGCAGACGAGCAUUCAGUCCAUAACAUGGAGUGUCUUAGCUUGGGUUGCUAUAACAAAUACCAUGCCAGCUGGGCGCAGUGGCUCACGCCUGUAAUCCCAGCACUUUG